ACACUUACCUGGCAGGGUAGAUACCAUGAUCAGGAAGGUGGUUCCCAGAGUGAGGCUCAUCCAUUGCACUCUGGUUGUGCUGACCCCUGUGAUUUCCUCAAAUGCAGAAUUUGUAGUAGUGAGGGACUGUGUUCGUGCUUUUCCUCU
rnacentral:snRNA from 1 species